rnacentral:rRNA from 1 species
GACGAACGCUGGCGGCGUGCUUAACACAUGCAAGUCGAACGGAAAGGCCCCCUUGUGGGGUACUCGAGUGGCGAACGGGUGAGUAACACGUGAGUAACCUACCCUUGACUUUGGGAUAACUUCAGGAAACUGGGGCUAAUACCGGAUAGGAGCUUCUGCUGCAUGAUGGGGGUUGGAAAGUUUCGGCGGUUGGGGAUGGACUCGCGGCUUAUCAGCUUGUUGGUGGGGUAGUGGCUCACCAAGGCUUUGACGGGUAGCCGGCCUGAGAGGGUGACCGGCCACAUUGGGACGGAGAGACGGCCCAGACUCCUACGGGAGGCAGCAGUGGGGAAUAUUGCACAAUGGGCGGAAGCCUGAUGCAGCAACGCCGCGUGCGGGAUGACGGCCUUCGGGUUGUAAACCGCUUUCGCCUGUGACGAAGCGUGAGUGACGGUAAUGGGUAAAGAAGCACCGGCUAACUACGUG